GCUGGGCAUGGUGGCGUGUGCCUGUAAUCCCAGCUACUCAGGAGGCUGAGGCAGGAGAAUUGCCUGAACCCAGGAGGCGGAGGUUGCGGUGAGGCGAGAUCACGCCAUUGCACUCCAGCCUGGGUAACAAGGGAAACUGUGUCUCAAAAAAAAAAAAAAAAAAAUCAAAUUUGGGUAUUUUGUGGAGUGAAUUCAAUCGCAAGGUUGGUUUGUUUGUUUGUUUAUUGAGACGGAGUUUCACUCUGAUUACCCAGGCUGGAGUGCAAGUGGCGCGAUCUCGGCUCACAGCAACCUCCGCCUCCUGGGUUCAGGCAAUUCUCCCGCCUCAG
rnacentral:SRP_RNA from 1 species